rnacentral:rRNA from 1 species
AUUGAACGCUGGCGGCAGGCCUAACACAUGCAAGUCGAGCGGUGGAGAGAAGCUUGCUUCUCUUGAGAGCGGCGGACGGGUGAGUAAUGCCUAGGAAUCUGCCUGGUAGUGGGGGAUAACGUUCGGAAACGGACGCUAAUACCGCAUACGUCCUACGGGAGAAGGCAGGGGCCCUUCGGGCCUUGCGCUAUCAGAUGAGCCUAGGUCGGAUUAGCUAGUUGGUGGGGUAAUGGCUCACCAAGGCGACGAUCCGUAACUGGUCUGUGAGGAUGAUCAGUCACACUGGAACUGAGACACGGUCCAGACUCCUACGGGAGGCAGCAGUGGGGAAUAUUGGACAAUGGGCGGAAGCCUGAUCCAGCCAUGCCGCGUGUGUGAAGAAGGUCUUCGGAUUGUAAAGCACUUUAAGUUGGGAGGAAGGGCAGUAAAUUAAUACUUUGCUGUUUUGACGUUACCGACAGAAUAAGCACCGGCUAACUCUGUGCCAGCCGCCGCCGUAA